UACGAAGGGGGCUAGCGUUGCUCGGAAUGACUGGGCGUAAAGGGCGCGUAGGCGGCUUGUAUAGUCGGAUGUGAAAUUCCUGGGCUUAACCUGGGGGCUGCAUACGAGACGUAUGGGCUUGAGUGCGGAAGAGGGUCGUGGAAUUCCCAGUGUAGCGGUGAAAUGCGCAGAUAUCGGGAGGAACACCAAUGGCGAAGGCAGCUCGCUGGGACGUGACUGACGCUGAGACGCGAAAGCGUGGGGAGCAAACAGGG
rnacentral:rRNA from 1 species